UAGCUUUAGGACUGCCGAACUGGCAUAUAAAUGAAUUGGUGAAUGCUCUUGCGACGUCCUCUGAUGUAGCUGACACAAGUGGGAUUGCGACGGAGUAUUUGGUCAAAUUAUCUUGUAUAGUGAGGAUGUAACUGUAUCCUUUUUGCGUCAUAGUACUUGUUCCUGAUUCUGAGGUGGAGUUUGGAUUGUACCUUUGCAGAUGAUGAUAUUGAUGUUUGAGUCUGCAAAGAUUAUUUGAAGAAUUGCCUUUAACCCUUGCUUGUCUGGCAUGCUGCAUUCCUGGA